rnacentral:rRNA from 1 species
CAUUACUGAGUUUUUAACUCUCCAAACCAUGUGAACUUACCACUGUUGCCUCGGUGGUCGGUGCUGGAAACAGUGCUGCCACCGGUGGACUACUAAACUCUUGUUAAUUUUUGUCAAAUCUGAAUCAAACUAAGAAAUAAGUUAAAACUUUCAACAACGGAUCUCUUGGUUCUGGCAUCGAUGAAGAACGCAGCGAAAUGCGAUAAGUAAUGUGAAUUGCAGAAUUCAGUGAAUCAUCGAAUCUUUGAACGCACAUUGCGCCCAUUAGUAUUCUAGUGGGCAUGCCUGUUCGAGCGUCAUUUCAACCCUUAAGCCUAGCUUAGUGUUGGGAGACUGCCUAAUACGCAGCUCCUCAAAACCAGUGGCGGAGUCUGUUCGUGCUCUGAGCGUAGUAAUUUUUUAUCUCGCUUCUGCAAGCCGGCCAGACGACAGCCAUAAACCGCACCCUCUCGGGGGGCACUUUUUUAAUGGUUGACCUCGGAUCAGGUAGGAAUACCCGCUGAACUUAAGCAUAUCAAUAAGCGGAGGAAAAGAAACCAACAGGGAUUGCCCUAGUAACGGCGAGUGAAGCGGCAACAGCUCAAAUUUGAAAUCUGGCCUUCUGGUCCGAAUUGUAAUUUGUAGAGGAUGCUUUUGGUUAGGUA